GAUGAACGCUGGCGGCGUGCCUAAUACAUGCAAGUCGAGCGAACAGACGAGGAGCUUGCUCCUCUGACGUUAGCGGCGGACGGGUGAGUAACACGUGGCUAACCUACCUAUAAGACUGGGAUAACUUCGGGAAACCGGAGCUAAUACCGGAUAAUAUAUUGAACCGCAUGGUUCAAUAGUGAAAGACGGUUUUGCUGUCCCUUAUAGAUGGAUCCGCGCCGCAUUAGCUAGUUGGUAAGGUAACGGCUUACCAAGGCAACGAUGCGUAGCCGACCUGAGAGGAUGAUCGGCCACACUGGAACUGAGACACGGUCCAGACUCCUACGGGAGGCAGCAGUAGGGAAUCUUCCGCAAUGGGCGAAAGCCUGACGGAGCAACGCCGCGUGAGUGAUGAAGGUCUUCGGAUCGUAAAACUCUGUUAUUAGGGAAGAACAAAUGUGUAAGUAACUAUGCACGUCUUGACGGUACCUAAUCAGAAAGCAACGGCUAACUACGUG
rnacentral:rRNA from 1 species